UUAAUAAAAUACACGCAUUUUUAAAUAAAUAUUCAAAUAAAAAAAAAAUUUUUUACGUAACAUUCGAACAACUAAACCCAUCAAAAUGAUAGUUUCCAGAUUUCUCAUUUUAUGAUACAAAAAUUGUUAAAAACCUUUUCGUCAUGAUGUAGCUAUGUUGACUUUUUAUUAGAUAUAGAAUAAUUAUAUAUUCUAAUUUAUGUUCCAACUUUUAUUCAUUCACUUUCCCAAUUCAUCUUCGAUUUAAAAAUAGGUCACUUGUUCCACUGUCACACAUUGUACGAAAUGAAACUUUCAUUUUGAACCAGGUGUUCCAUGUUUAUCAGUUGGAAGCAUUUUCCCAAGCAUAGAGCCACGGUUAUGCAACAGAUGUAACAAUAGUCCCCGACAAAAAAGUCUGCUAUUACUUCCGGCGGAAUUGAAAUUGGACCGCUUUACUCGCAACGAACACAGCCACUUAAAUUUCCAUUUCCAGAUAAUAACACGCUUCUAUUUCGGUUCCUCUAAAUUACGGAAGUAGAACGAGGCAAAAUGCUUCCGCAUGCAUUUUCGCAAUCAUGUGUGAAAUAAAUAUGUAUGCCCUGAUUCGAGCUACCUUAAUUACAUCUAUCAUGAACACUCCUUUUGAUGCAAGAAUUCAACGUAACGUUUUUUUUUUAUUCUCUGAGAAAAGUAAUUGUUUCCGAUAUUAUAAGGCAGUUAUAAAAGUUUACACUAUUCAUAUUUAGAUUUUUCAAAAAGGGAAAGAUAUUUAAUUUUCGUUGACUACUAUCCAUCUUUUAUUUGAUCUCCUAAAAGUGUUUACUUUUUCUUAAAGAUUUCACGCUUAAAAUUACGAAUUUUCAUUUAUUUUGCCUAAAUUUAAAUUUUUCGAAAGUAAAAGGAUACCGUCUUUAAGCCAUUCGUACAAAAUGGUAGAAAACAUAAGAAAAGAACAGAUAUCUAUCUAUUCUAAAUUCUAGAUGUAUAUUAGAAGUACAUUGAAUUAUCUCAAAUAUUUUUCGCUAAGAAUAUCCAAUUCGUAUUUAUUCUUUUUACAAACAGAACGAUACCUCUCUUCAACAUCACAUCUCAUUUCAACCACUUUCAGCAUAAAAAAAAAAAAUUCUUAUGAAAUUCAUACAAUCAUCACAAAUAUUUCAUAUCAGAAAAAAAAAAUAUGAAAACGCAAAUGUCGAUAUUUUUGGCGAGUUUCUGCAAUUGUAAUAAAGUAUGCAUGUUUUGGCGAAUGAGACAGAGGUAAAAAGACAAAUUUAUUGUAACGAUAGCGCGCAUGGGCUGUACGAGUUUAACGAGAGACAAUAAAAAAGAAGAACGACGUUUGUACAAUUGCGAGAACGAGAAACCGGAGGAAAAUAGAAGGAAUAAAAUGAAAAAAAGUAUGAGGAAUAUCCUUAAAAAGCGAUUUCGUUUCUGUGCACGUCAUUCAAAAAACCGUCGCGAUGUGUCGAUCAGACACCAAACUGCUACAUUAUACAUUGUAAUCGUAUAGAAGAUCGCAAUAAAGAGAGACUAAAGGGAAACCGGAUGAUCAGUGUGCGAUAUAAAUUGUAAGUUAUUCGAUGAUUUCGUAUUAUUCGACAGGACCUUAUUAUUAUUAUUAUUAUUAUCAUUAUUGUUGUUAUUAUUAUUAUUAUUAUUACUAUUAUUAUUAUUAUUAAUAAGACUGUAUAACGGAGAAGAGGAUGGUGAUGAAGAAGAAGAGAAAAACAGCUACUAUAUUAUGUAUCGUGUUCUCGGCAUGGAAGAUGGUCACGUGACAUUUUCAAUCGACGAUAUCCAGAUUAUUUUGUAUUUUAAAUUGAAAAGAUAAAAAAAAAAGAUGAUAGCACCUUGUUCCAUCGACGAAUUGUAUACUAAACUGCGAAAUCGUUUGUCAUGAAUUUAGACUGCGGAUGUUUUUUACGCAAUUAUAACAUUGUUAAAAUACAUACAAAUCAGUUUCAAUAAAGUUUCCGUACAACAUUGGCGUUAGACUUUAUGUACUUAAUAUUGUGUAAUUCAUGCACAAAAUAUGAUGAAUAAAUGUUACUUACGUUAUUUUAUUCAGAAAUAUUAUGCGGUAUUUAUUAUUGAAACAUAGUUUUUUGAGGAAUUGUUGAACAGAAAUAAAAAUUUAAACGUUUCGUACACAUUAAUAUUAACGCGUUAAUUAUGGGAGGGUGACCAAUUAUCAAUAUUUCAAACCUAAUGCAAUCUAAUAAUUAACGCAACGACUGUAAUGGGGGUCACUGAUGGCAAGCACCUAAAAUUUUAUAUAAUAAAAUUAUUAGAAAAAAAGGAAAAGAACACAAUCUUAUUUUAAUCAUUCAAAACCUUUUCUGAUAAACUGUACACAAAAACUGCGUGAAUUAUAUAUUGAUAUAUAUACGCAUAAUUUGGAUGAUAAAAAAAUACAAAGAGGGGGUAUUACAUUGAUUAAUCAUUGCAACAACAUAAGUGUUAAUUACUUACUUAAUAAUUAUUGCAUAGCUUGAUUCUGAACGCGAUAAUCUAUCAGUCGAACACAAUGUACAAAAUAAAAUAUACAUUUUUAAAACCGUCUAAUGACAAAACAAAUUUCUCUUCAAGUUCCGUUUCUUUGCACUGAUUUGCAUAAACAUCCACAGUCUAAUCAUGGUACAUGCGAAUCGUUGUGAUCGUUCCUAGCACAGUGGCGUCGGAUAAAAUCAGUAUUUGAAAUCUCGUGGUAAAAGAGAAAAACAAACGAUUCGCGAGAAAUCUGUCAAAGAGAAAAAGAAAAAGAGCGUAGAAGUAUAAUAAGAAUACGACAAGCACGGAGACGAACGUACUAGCGAUCCUUUAUCGGAACAGCUGAGACAACGAUGAAGAAACUGGUCUAGCACUGCCAUUUGUAAGCUACGUAUUUAAUUCUCAUAGACUGAAACAAAAAGAAAUAUGAAAUAUUUAAUUGUUAAUGAAAAUCGGUGAAAAGAGAGAGAAUGAGCGAGAGGUAACGAUGAGAAGAACAGCCAUUGGGUUCUAAAGUAUGAAACCCUUCAGGCUGUUUUGUUUUUAAUAUUUAGUCAAAAUAUCGCCACUUGCAACGCUACCUUGUGAUAUCAUUCAGGAUCCCUUUUUUCUCUUGUCCUCUUUCCUUCAUGUACACUUGCGUUGCUCAUUGUUUUCAAGAACAACGAGAAGGAAGAAGAGAUGGGAGCAGAAGAAAUGUAAUUUUGAUCCUUGUGACACUGUUUCAAAGGAAUAGUUUCACCAAGGAUGAAGAAAUCUGUAUUUAUUACUCCCCUUAUCUUCUCUCUCGUUCCUUCGAUGCAAAACCCCACCAUAUCGUCGCCAUAUAAUUUUUAGAGGUAAUAAAUGAAAUAUUAUUGAAUACAAC